rnacentral:rRNA from 1 species
UACGUAGGGGCGAGCGUUGUCCGGAAUGACUGGGCGUAAAGGGCGUGUAGGCGGCUUUAUAAGUCUGGAGUGAAAGUCCUGCAUUCAAUGUGGGAAUUGCUUUGGAGACUGUAGAGCUUGAGUGCGGAAGAGGUAAGUGGAAUUCCCAGUGUAGCGGUGAAAUGCGUAGAGAUUGGGAGGAACACCAGUGGCGAAGGCGACUUACUGGGCCGUAACUGACGCUGAGGCGCGAAAGCGUGGGGAGCGAACAGGAUUAGAUACCCUGGUA